UUUUUGUUCUGACAAACACAACUUUAGAUCAUAAUGGUCAAAUGUUUGGUUCCCAAUUCUCAACUGAGUCAAUUAAAAGUAGAGAGUAGGAGAAUUUUUACUGAGAGAUGAAUGGAUACAAUCUCUUUUGAAAGACAAAUUAUUUUUAUUCACGUCUCUACAUAUUGAUUUAGGAACUUAGCAUUGGCUACUGAAUUUAAAUUAGGAGCCAAAAGAUUCUGCUUUGCUUUUAUGAAUGCUGUUAAUGAAUUAAGCUUUCCAGUAUGCCCUCAAGAGGCUUGUUCAGCACUUUGCUGAUUGUAGGUGCAAUAAUUAAGCCAAAGGACAAGACCUGGAAAAACACCAUAGGCACUUCCAGCUCAGGUGUGAGGAGGUGAAAACCUGGAUAUCUGUUCACCCCAUCCUGCUGCUCUGCAUGUGGGGACUGGCUACAGCUGGGAGAAGUAGGGUUGCGUGGGCUUGUUCCAGAAGCUGGUGAAGUGUUGAUCCACACUCAUUUAUUCCAGAAACAAACAAUUGCUUUUAAGGUAACAAUAUUUAACUUUUUAUAGCACUGCAGUGGCAGGGAUAAACUGUGACAACCAUUGCUGGAAAAGGAGAGAAAGUACGACACAAUCCCGUUCAACAGAAGACGACUGCUGGCUCCACAUUCAACAGUGCAUCAAAUUAAACCUUCUUGUCACUGUCCUCGAUGCUCUGCAUAACUCUUCCCUUCCCUACUUCUCCCCCUUUGUCACACUCUGAGUCCUCCUCACCCCUGUAGCUGUGCUCACUUUGUCAAAGCUCCCAGCUUUGUCAGGUUCUUUAUCAACUACUCCUACUGUUGCCCAAAAGCCCUAUCACAUGUAGCCCUCUAUAUAAACGGCCCACAUUCCACCCACCUCUUAAAAACUCCUUUGUGCUGUGUUACCUAAAAUGAAUUGCAUUGGAUAUACCCUGCCCAAGCAGAGGCUUCAAGGACUGACAAAGGUGAUUUUCUGAGAUAGGUGCAGCAAGUAUUUAUUAUUCGGUAGCAUAUAUUCCUCAUUAAAAUUUGCAAGAGUGAAAAGUCUGAUCCAGUACAUAUUUGACUGGGGGGUUAGUCCAGAAACUUGGCAUAAAGUAUUCCUGCCUGCUCUCAGAAGUAGGCUAAAACUGGCUGUAUGCCUGAUUUUCUUUCCUUUAAGCUACAUCCUUCCUCAGAUCAUGAGCUCCUGGACACAAAAUCCCCCCAUCCUGAACCA